UAGCGGAGGAAAAGAAACCAACCGGGAUUGCCUUAGUAACGGCGAGUGAAGCGGCAAAAGCUCAAAUUUGAAAUCUGGUACCUUCGGUGCCCGAGUUGUAAUUUGGAGAGGGCAACUUUGGGGCCGUUCCUUGUCUAUGUUCCUUGGAACAGGACGUCAUAGAGGGUGAGAAUCCCGUGUGGCGAGGAGUGCGGUUCUUUGUAAAGUGCCUUCGAAGAGUCGAGUUGUUUGGGAAUGCAGCUCUAAGUGGGUGGUAAAUUCCAUCUAAAGCUAAAUAUUGGCGAGAGACCGAUAGCGAACAAGUACAGUGAUGGAAAGAUGAAAAGAACUUUGAAAAGAGAGUGAAAAAGUACGUGAAAUUGUUGAAAGGGAAGGGCAUUUGAUCAGACAUGGUGUUUUGUGCCCUCUGCUCCUUGUGGGUAGGGGAAUCUCGCAUUUCACUGGGCCAGCAUCAGUUUUGGUGGCAGGAUAAAUCCAUAGGAAUGUAGCUUGCCUCGGUAAGUAUUAUAGCCUGUGGGAAUACUGCCAGCUGGGACUGAGGACUGCGACGUAAGUCAAGGAUGCUGGCAUAAUGGUUAUAUGCCGCCCGUCUUGA
rnacentral:rRNA from 1 species